ACUUCUGCUACAGCCCUGUCUUUUUACUGGUUCCCGUUAUGGUGAGAAUCAAGCACAAUGAGCAAGCUCACUUUAUUUGCAGGUCGGUUUUUGGAGCUGUGCCAGUUG